rnacentral:rRNA from 1 species
GAUGAACGCUGGCGGCGUGCCUAAUACAUGCAAGUCGAGCGAACAGAUGAGGAGCUUGCUCCUCUGACGUUAGCGGCGGACGGGUGAGUAACACGUGGAUAACCUACCUAUAAGACUGGGAUAACUUCGGGAAACCGGAGCUAAUACCGGAUAAUAUAUUGAACCGCAUGGUUCAAUAGUGAAAGACGGUUUUGCUGUCACUUAUAGAUGGAUCCGCGCCGCAUUAGCUAGUUGGUAAGGUAACGGCUUACCAAGGCGACGAUGCGUAGCCGACCUGAGAGGGAGAUCGGCCACACUGGAACUGAGACACGGUCCAGACUCCUACGGGAGGCAGCAGUAGAGAAUCUUCCGCAAUGGGCGAAAGCCUGACGGAGCAACGCCGCGUGAGUGAUGAAGGUCUUCGGAUCGUAAAGCUCUGUUAUUAGGGAAGAACAAAUGUGUAAGUAACUAUGCACGUCUUGACGGUACCUAAUCAGAAAGACACGGCUAACUACGUG